UGGGGAAUUUUGGACAAUGGGCGAAAGCCUGAUCCAGCAAUGCCGCGUGUGUGAAGAAGGCCUUCGGGUUGUAAAGCACUUUUGUCCGGAAAGAAAUCCUUGGCUCUAAUACAGUCGGGGGAUGACGGUACCGGAAGAAUAAGCACCGGCUAACUACGUGCCAGCAGCCGCGGUAAUACGUAGGGUGCAAGCGUUAAUCGGAAUUACUGGGCGUAAAGCGUGCGCAGGCGGUUUGCUAAGACCGAUGUGAAAUCCCGGGGCUCAACCUGGGAACUGCAUUGGUGACUGGCAGGCUAGAGUAUGGCAGAGGGGGGUAGAAUUCCACGUGUAGCAGUGAAAUGCGUAGAGAUGUGGAGGAAUACCGAUGGCGAAGGCAGCCCCCUGGGCCAAUACUGACGCUCAUGCACGAAAGCGUGGGGAGCAAACAGGAUUAGAUACCCUGGUAGUCCACGCCCUAAACGAUGUCAACUAGUUGUUGGGGAUUCAUUUCCUUAGUAACGUAGCUAACGCGUGAAGUUGACCGCCUGGGGAGUACGGUCGCAAGAUUAAAACUUAAAGGAAUUGACGGGGUCAUAGCUGUUCCU
rnacentral:rRNA from 1 species